rnacentral:lncRNA from 1 species
UGAUCCUGUCUCCUAUCCCCAAGGGGACCAGGCACAUGUGGUAUAUAGAUAUACACCCAUACACAUAAAAGAGUAAAAAGUUAAAAAACCUAGAUGUCCUAAUUUUUACCUGAAAUUACUUUUUAUUAGAGUAGCCUUCAAAAUCACAGAAGUGAAUUUAUAUACCAUUAUAGUUUUAGAUUUUGUUUGGUUUUGUUGUUGUUGUUUGAAAUAGGGUUUCCUGGCUACCCUGGAACGUGAUUUGUAGGCCAGACUCACCUUGAACUCAUAGAUCCACCUGCCUCUGCCUCUUGAGUGCUGGGAUUAAAAGCAUGUGCCACCACUGCCUGGCUUUUUUUUUUUUUUUUGUUUUAAAGGCUAGGCUAGCCUGAGCUUCCAAUAGUAGACUGGGAUGGCCUGGAACUUGCAUUGACCUUUCUGUCUCUUCUGCCCAAAUCCUAGGGUUAAUUACACCUGACUCAGAUCUUUAGAGUCACCAGAAACUUCCCCUAGGCUUUAUUUGAGUCCCCCUUUCUAGGUGUUUACUAUGACUGUUAUCUUAGUGACAGGACAUUGUGAUUAUUUACAAAAUGUUUCAUUAUUGACCUUUUCAGUUAAAUGAAAAAGUUAAAUUGACAUUGUGAAGAUAACAUUUAAAAUUAUCACAUAUAAAUAAUAAAGGAUAUAACUUUUUUUUCUCUUUAGUCUUAAAGAGGUGGUCAUUGAUUGGGGGACUUAAUCCCACAUUCUCAACAUUCAGGAAAUCGAGGCAGGAGCCUGCGUGAUAGAGACUCUUAAUUUUGCUUUUUGUUUUUUUUCAUUGCCAUGAGAAAACACCAUGAGCAAGACAACUUAUAAAAGAAAGUCUUUAAUUUAGAGGCUCACGAUUCCAGAGGAUUAGCGUCCAUGAUUGUCAUGUCAGAGAGCAUGUAGCAGGAGGCAGGCAGACAUGGGGUUGGAGCCAUAGUUGAGAGUGGGAAGCAGAGAAAGAGGGGCAAGCUAGAGCACACUAACUGGAAAUACUAUGGGUUUUUGAAACCUCAGCCCACCCCUAGUGACACAGGUCCUGUAACAAGGUCCUAAUCUUUCCCAAAGUGUUCACCAACUGGGGACCAAACAUCAAACAUACAAACCCAUGAAGACCAUUCUCAUUCAAACUGCCACAGAGACCCUCUUUC